GAGAAAUACGCUGUAGGAAUUGCAGCUGAAGAAAGCGAUAUUUAUCGAUUUUAGCUAGUUAAAGUAGUCUAUAUUUGUAGAAAUUCAGACUCAAAGAACUGAACUCGCAUUUCAAUAUAGCUGAAAUAUUUCUCUAGGCCAAUAGGAGAUUAGAGAGAGUAGCAGUAUAUCAAUAGAUAUACAUCGACUGCUUCUUAACCAUAUGAGGCAGUCGAUAGUGGGCGUGAGUGCGAUGAUCGUGAAUAGCUUAAGCAGAAGAAGAACUUUUAAAGGAGCUGCUGAAAAAAUAUAAUUAAAUUACCAGAUAAAACCUCUUACAUGUCAUACCCUACACAGUUUAUGUACAGGGUACCUGGCUGCAUUUUGCGUGGAGCUUCAUUUGCAAUUUCAAUUAGUCGAUCUUUUGAUUUCUAACCUUGGCUUCGUUGGCUCUGCUAGUGGUAUAAAAGGAGCUGCCUGAGCGGAACCAGUGAACAGUUCACAAGUGAAUCUGGGUUCGGCUCAAGAUGUUGCUGCUGCCGCUGCUGCUAUUGUUGUUUAUCUGCGGGCUCUUUGACAGCGCCGCCUGGGCAGCUCUGCUGCCACCCGGCAAUGCUUACUUGCCACCAGCUGUGCCGCAGCUUGUGGCUGCAGCAGCUCCAGCUGCGGUCGUGCCCCACGUGGAGCAACAGCAGGAAUACGCGCUGGACUUGCCACUGGAGUUCUACUGAGACGUCAGCUGCAAAGGGAAUUGAUUCUUGAUGACAUUGAAAUUUGUGAAUGAAUUUUGUAUGCAUAAAUAAAAAAUGUUUAGUAUAAAGAGA